CAGCACCAGUGCAUCGUUGAAGGGCACCGCCAUUCCUGAGGUGAAGAGAAAGGGAAGAAGACAUUCCAUCUUACCUGCUCCUAUUCCUGGAUACAACAUCACCAGAGGGUUUCGGUCCGCUUCUUCCACCUGAGACAUCAAGGGACUCUCCAGUGCUCCUCCUCUGCAGGUUCCAAUUACCCAAUGAAUGUUCACUUGGACAUUCAAAUAAAAAAGCACCAUGGACUUGACUCAGAUGUAUACAUGUAAAGAUCUUUAUUAAGCUUAUAUUUAUCGUGCACCACAUGAGGGGAGAGAGGAGGAGAUCUGCCCCAGUCCAUCGGUGACAGAUACAGCAGAGGGCGAAUCUGCUCUUUUGAGAAAAAGGAGCUUGUUUCUAUUCCGAUACCUACACCACUUCACACAUGGAGAGUUAUCUUGGCUCCCCUUUGAGAUAACACAACCGGUGGCUGGAAAAUGAUGUUAAAAUAAUAAGAGAUGGGCUGCAGUGCUACUGGCUACCACUAGGGGCCGCUGGACAUGGCAGAGCCCCCCUCACACAUAGAAGAUCCUGCCAGAGGGAUUGGGAAGGAGCUACAGGGAUCUCGGAAACUGCAGUUCCCAGCAUAUUCUGAGGAAAGGAGGUGGCAAC